rnacentral:rRNA from 1 species
UCGAUGAAGAACGCAGCUAGCUGCGAUAAUUAGUGCGAAUUGCAGACGCGUUGAGCACAAAAAUUUCGAACGCACAUUGCACCAUCGGGUUCAUUCCCGAUGGUACGUCUGGUUGAGGGUC